UACGGAGGAGGCAAGCGUUAUCCGGAAUUAUUGGGCGUAAAGCGUCCGUAGAUGGUCGUUUCAAGUCUGCUGUCAAAGACCGGGGCUUAACCCCAGAAAGGCGGUGGAAACUGAACAGCUAGAGAGAGGUAGGGGUAGAGGGAAUUCCCAGUGUAGCGGUGAAAUGCGUAGAUAUUGGGAAGAACAUCAGUGGCGAAAGCGCUCUACUGGACCUUAUCUGACAUUGAGGGACGAAAGCUAGGGGAGCAAACAGG
rnacentral:rRNA from 1 species